GUCCAUAUAUGAGCUGGUUGUAUGCAUGUUUCCUGGUAAUCUAAGCAGCAGUUUCCAAGCUUAACACAAUCUCUGUCACAACGACAGCUUCCAAAGGUCCUUUCAAAGCAACGACCUUUGCAGGUUUUCACAUCUUUUGAACAGCUAGGCUUCAGGCCAAAUAUACAUCCUAGGAUUGUCGUUAACACGCAGACACAGAGUACCAGGGAGAGCACUUUGUAGGUGUUGGGGUCCUUGCUUUUGCCGCCCGGGGCUUUCUCCGGCUCCUCGGCCACCUCCAAGGCCGGCAGCAUAGGCACGGCUGCAGCCUGCAGCUCGCCAUCGGCCGCCCCUCUCCCGCCGAGGCCCUCCUGACGGCCGUUGCCUGCAGCCUUCUCCCCGUUGCCCUGCA
rnacentral:lncRNA from 1 species